UAGGGAAUCUUCGGCAAUGGGGGGAACCCUGACCGAGCAACGCCGCGUGAGUGAAGAAGGUUUUCGGAUCGUAAAGCUCUGUUGUUAAGGAAGAACGAGUGUGAGAAUGGAAAGUUCAUACUGUGACGGUACUUAACCAGAAAGGGACGGCUAACUCCGUGCCAGCAGCCGCGGUAAUACGUAGGUCCCGAGCGUUGUCCGGAUUUAUUGGGCGUAAAGCGAGCGCAGGCGGUUAGAUAAGUCUGAAGUUAAAGGCAGUGGCUCAACCAUUGUAGGCUUUGGAAACUGUUUAACUUGAGUGCAGAAGGGGAGAGUGGAAUUCCAUGUGUAGCGGUGAAAUGCGUAGAUAUAUGGAGGAACACCGGUGGCGAAAGCGGCUCUCUGGUCUGUAACUGACGCUGAGGCUCGAAAGCGUGGGGAGCGAACAGG
rnacentral:rRNA from 1 species